GUACACACCGCCCGUCACACCAUGGGAGUGGGCUGCACCAGAAGCGGCUAGUCUAACCUUCGGGAGAGCGCUUACCACGGUGUGGUCAAUGACUGGGGUGAAGUCGUAACAAGGUAGCCGUAGGUGAACCUGCAGAAGGAUCA
rnacentral:rRNA from 1 species